CUCCUACGGGAGGCAGCAGUGGGGAAUAUUGCACAAUGGGCGCAAGCCUGAUGCAGCGAGCCGCGUGGGGGAUGAAGGCCUUCGGGUUGUAAACUCCUUUCGCUAGGGACGAAGCUUUUUGUGGCGGUACCUAGAUAAGAAGCACCGGCUAACUACGUGCCAGCAGCCGCGG
rnacentral:rRNA from 1 species